GCGCCCUGGGCGGUCCAGGCUCCCCUCCACGUACCUUUUCUUCCCGUGCGGCCCCCGCUCCCUCGCCGGCCUGGCUGUCCCGGGGCUGCAGCUCCAGCACCGUGCGGAAGAGCUUCUCCGAGCGCCCAGCACACUCCUGGACUCCUGGAAGGUGCCCUAUUAACGGAGAGAUUCAAGAGAGGCUUGAAGAAGAGGGAAGUCUCCCCGAGUGAUUGCAAAGUGUGCAAACCAGGGUCCUGUCAUCCAUCCAGCUUCUUGUCAAAUUGUUGACUCCAGCCUCCUGGCCAAGAUUUUCUGGAUCAAACAACUUUUACAACUUACCUUCUUAAAUUUUAGGAAUUAAAAAAAUGUUUAAAGCUUGUA